CUUUCCGGUUGUGAGCCCUCAAACUAGAUAAUCCCACACCGACCAAGAGCUUCUAUGUUUCCCCGUUAUAUUACGGAGCUCAACAUCUCGGUUCGUCCGUUCGGGGACAUCCGAUAAAAUUGGAACGAUACAGAGAAGAUUAGCAUGGCCCCUGCGCAAGGAUGACACGCACAAAUCGAGAAAUGAAUGGCGUGUUUCCUUUAAGCGAGGACAUUGAAGGAGGAGCCUUCCUAAAAGGGACUCCAAUGAAGGUCCUGGGGUUGUUUGAAUAACACAUGGUUCUUUCGUAUGCCUAAUUGUUAUCAUAGCACCUACAGAUAUGUGAAGGAUGGUGAGACAAGGUUCUCCAACGCCUCAAGAGUCAGUUGAAAUCCAUCCGAAUGAAGAUACGAAGCCCUACCAGAACAUGCAACAACUCUUUGUGCUCCACACUGUUUCUGCAUAUCAAAUUUGAAUGGACUGUCGCCGUAGCCACAACAUGCCUUCAUCAAAGUUUUCAUUUUGAAUCCCAGAAAGCCCAUGGAUUUUUAGAAUAGCUGUGAAUGCUUUGUAGUAAUCUGCAUAUAUGAUAUGGACUUCAGGGUAUUUUAAUCGCAGCUCCUGAAUAAAGGUGAUUAUUGUGAAGCUUCGAGAACAUAUUCAGUCCCCUGUGGCAUAUUCUGUUUUUGCGAAUUGGAUCACCCUCACAGAGUCCAAAAACCAGGAAAGCAGCCCACACGAAGAAUUUCAGAGACCAUAAUUGUUUUACUCCAGGUUCAUUGAUGAGCUUUUCAACUGAACUUUUAAUAGUCUCCACCACUUCAGGCACAAGAUGAGACAUUUCACAUAUAGAUUUUCCAUGUAAGAAUGCAUGCUUGUAGUCAUUGAUGCCGAGUUGAUCCAUAAAGAUAAGUGCUUUUGAAGAACCUUGUUUCUGCCACAGUCAUUGAAAAAAGGUACAGUCUUUAUAGAAGAACUUCAUAAAGGUGACAAUCGGUGAUAGGUCAUGAGACUGAGGUGGUGGUGGGAUGGCAUUCUUUAGGAAGAAAAAGGGCAUGAUUGUUGCGCAAGGAAUUGCAAAACUCAGUCCAGACUCGAAGUACUCAGUGCCUUGUUGUGGAGAAGGCAAACUGAGGGUUGCAGCAAUUUGAUCAGGAGCUGAUGAUGAAGAGUCGCUAUCCCCGCGGGACCAUCUUCCUUCGCCAAGGAGAAAGACGGAACAAGGAGACAAGACUGGACCAAUAGCACGAGCAACAAACAAUGGCUGCUGCAAAAAAAAACCAUAAGCAAAGAAACUAAGAGCUCAAAGAAUAUGAGAAGGAGCAAGAUUGAUGCAAAACCAAGUCUGUUAUGCAAAACCUUAAGGUGGCCUUAGGGUCACCUGUUUUUAUACAAGUCUGGUGCUUAAGAAUUAUAGUAAGUAGCUUUCAUUUAGGAAAAUACCAAAGUAGUUGCAGAAUGGGAUUUAUUUUCUCUUUUUUUUGGUGGUAAUAAAAGAUUUUAUUUAAAGGGAUUUAUUUCCUA